AAGCUCUGUGGGGCAAGUAAUCCUUUUUGAUGGGAACAGAAUUGAGUUUAAUUGUCUAUAUAUAGGUUGUCUCAUCUUAACUACCUAACAUUCACAAACCAGUUUGUUUUCUGAAAUUGCAAUUAUGCAUUGUAUUCUGUGGCCUAUAAACUAUAAAUGAGUGCUUGUAAUACCUUGUGUAAGAGCAUCGGAUACAUAGUGCCUUGAAAUCUAAAAAUAAUAAUAACAGCAACAAUACUAAUAAAGUGUUCAAAAAUCAAAGAAUGUGUUAACAGAGAAGGGCAUAUCCAUUCAAAUGUCCAGUUUCUGAUUUCUUUUCAAGAUAGACAGGAACAUGGGCAGGAUGUUUAUACUGCAAAAUGUAAACAUAUUCGCCGGGCUUCUUUAAAUAAAAAUGCAGGCAAAACCUCCCGCUAGAUCUCCUAAUGCCCCUUUCUGAUCCAUGUAAAACAUGCCAUCUUUUACUCUGUUUAGUUACUUACGCUUUAAAAAUAAUGCAUGUUUUAGUCUCUCCCCAGACCUCUUAUGCAUGAAAAGAAAAAUCAAAUCAGCUCCACCUCUGCGGCGUACGGAACCGAAACGGGCAUCUGACACUUGCAUUGUUGAUCAGAUAUCACUGACAAUCAAAGUAGAACCUCUGCCUAGACUCAGCCAUGUCCAAUUUACAUCUGACCAUGAGAUGGUGUAGAACCCUUUCUCUGUGUUUGCUGAUGGGCGGCCAAUAUAUAUCCUUGGGGAAGACCUUCUUUUUCCCCCAUAACAUCCUGAAUUGUUCAAGAAUGGGAACCAGUCCUAAAUGGAACACCAGGCCACUGAAGGACAGUCACGCACAGAGAGACUAUUACAGAUGCCAAUUACUGCAACAUAAUGUCAAAAUAUUUAAGAUGCAAGAGAAAACUGGCAUACUGGGAGAAAAAUGAUGGAGAUCCCGAAAAUGUGUGAACUUCACACGGGCAAUAAUCAGACUGGGAAUCUAAUCCAGAUCCAUGGAGCUUUGAGUCACCAUAGCAAUCCAUAGUUGUGUUUAUUUGAAAAAAAAGAAUGACUCUUAAAGGAAUACUCCAUCCAAAAAUUGUAUUUUUUUAAUAUGUUACUUACUCCAUGUAGUUUAUAGCAAUGCCCAAGAAAAAAUUAUAAUCUCAUGUUUUCAUGCAAAACAGAAAGAAAACAGUUUAUUGACAGAGUUUCUUAAACUAUUGUUGUUGUGACCCAAUCUUGUCCUUUUCAUUGAUUUAGAGACACAUUCCUUGUUUAAUGGGGUGGGGGGAUUGAAGACCAAAUUGGAGCAAUGUCGAUUGCUUAACUCAAAUUGCAAACUAUCUGUGAUCCAUUACAAUUAAAUCCAACAGUAACUCGCAACCCUACUCUGGCAACAUGCAACCCAAAAUCCUGGUUUAUGAUAUAACAGGACACCAAUGGUGACCAACAACAAAUGACGUGAACAACAUCCAAAAGCACAGUAUUAUGGGAAUUAAUUUCCUGUUUAUGAUGUCUGCUGCAAUUUUCCGUAAGUAACCAUUAAAUCACAUUUUAGCAAAAAAUACAUGGGUUUUGCACGUUUUGUUCAUACAACUGGAUAACUGACUUAUGGAUUAUGAAACACCAGUAACGUGAGUUUUCUUUUCUCCAUGAAUGUUUUUCACAUUGUUUGAUGUUAUACUGCAUUGAUCAUAAUUGGGUUCUGUUAUAUCAUAAACUUUUUUGUCUCUGUUCUGCAUGAAAACAUGAGAUUAAAACUUUUUCUUGGCCGUCGUUACAAAUGACAUUGGAAAGUAACAUAUAAUUUUUUUUGGGUACAGCAUUCUUUUAAACUUACGCUUAAAGGUUUUCCACCCCAAAACCUUAACUAAAUAAUGUUUGCAUAUAAUCCAUCAUUUGCAUACUUUUUGAUGGCACUUAAAAACCAAAACAGAUGUCUAGUUUAUAUACCAAUUUUUUUACUUUAUCCUUUUGAAAGGUUCUUAAUGUGCUGCUCACAUUUCUCUUAAUGUGUAAAGACUGUGUCAGCUGUCAUUUCUGUAACAUGACUCUUUAAACAUAGUCAUUUUCACUCCAGCCAUCUCCCUUGUUUAAGACAGUGUUGCUGUUGAAGGAGUUUAUUCAUUCAUGUAAAAACUCUGAAUUGGCGGUACAUGUGCACCUCAGCACAAAUGAAAAAAUGUUAAUUUGAAAGAUCGGUUGCUUGCUUGAAAGAGAACUAGAAAGUUGCUUAUCUGAACAAAAAGGUGGUGGACCCAAGAUGGAAAUAUGGCAGAGUUGUGGGAUAAAAAUGGACUUUGUGUAAAAGGUGGGCAGUUAUCUGUCAAAGUCCAGACUAUACUGGAUGGACUUUGAGUUUUAAAAGGACCUUGUGUCACUGCAGUCGUAACUGGAUAGUCUUUUCACACUUUAUGCUGUAAGUGAAUAAAAAACUUCUUCAACAACAUACGAAAUGCUACUGUAUAGUUGGGAAAGUCAACGGUUAUCAUUUCGUUCAUUUUAAGUUCAAUUAUAAGGAAGAUCAAGUCAUUAGUCUGAUGGCUCUGUUUUCUAACCUGUUAUUUAGCAAUCAGAACAUGCCACAUUUGUUUCGAGAAAGCCUUAAUUCCAGCUAGAGCAUUUAGAUGUACAGUAGGUAUAAUUAAAGGCCAUGGCUAAAAAUGUUUAUUUUCAGCUAAGCUCUGGAAAGUUCCUUUCUUGGUAAAUACUUAGUUGGGCUUUAUCUUAGCAUAUUUGAAAUUCCUAAAGCCACACAUUUAGAAUCUCAUCUACUUGUAUCUAAUUAGAAAUAAUUAAAUUAUGGUCAACAUUUUUCGGUGUUUUGCUCAUACUGUUUUGUUUUGUAUUUUUUCUCUCCCAUAGGUUACCGAUGCAAUUCAAAAUAUGAUGCCAUUGCCACCCAGACCUGAAAUGCCGUAGGCAGCUUGCACCUUCUGUGAUGGCACUGACUAUUUCAUCCAACUGUAUCAGUGUUGUAUGGGCCCUUAAAUAGGAAAUACUCCUCAGCUGCCUUCUGAGUAUUAAUUGGAGUUGGUGCCUCUUACAUAGGACUUACACAGCUACAGUUGUAAAGUUUCAGAAGCAGUAAAGUCGAAUCACUUUAUGCAUACUCUAAGAAAGAUCAUAUUAUUAGAAAGAAAUAUGAAGAUAAUAGUACUGCAAGUAAAAAUGUAUAUGACAUGGAGUCAUUCAAUUUCCUUUCACUAAGAGAUAUUUGGAAUAAACUGAGGCUUAGGGCCUUGUGGAGGACUGAGAGAAAAUGAAUCUUGCUUGGUUGCACAUAAAUAGUUUUUGAAUUACUAACUUGUUUUUGGAUACUGCUUAAAUUUUCUUUCUAUGUGUGUAGUAAUAGCAGCAGAAACAUCAUAAGUAAAGUAGUUACUGCUGCUGCAUCAUACCUUGAAUAGGCCCUGUUAAUGGUCUACUCUGGUUUUUUCUUUCAGAUCCUACAGACAUAUGCGACGUGGGACGAUACAUUGCAAGUAAGUGAGUGUAACAUGUGGGUUGACUCAGCCUUUCAGGGUUAGUUUCUGUCUUGCACCUAAUGCUUCUAGGACAGCCUCCAGGCCCCUGCGACCUUAUAAUUGGAUUAAGAAGCUUUUGAUGAUGGCUGUUUAUAUAAUUUAAUUACAUUAUGGAAUAUACUAGGAGAAUGACAAGCCAGCAACUCACUAAGAGAUGUUUGACAGGUGCUAAAUUAAGGCUUGGGAAUAUUGUGGAUGACAGAGAAUCUGAAAGUGCAUGAGUAGAGACAAAAAGGUGAGCAUUAUGUGGUUGAUCAGAAACAGUCUGUAUUACUUACUUAUAUUUUGGAUACUAUUUCGCCUUUCUUUCUAUACAUCUGUGUAAGAGAGAACAUUACAGUCUUUUAUUGUUUUUCACUGAAUUAUAAUGUUUUUCAUUAAUGUGCUCAUUGAAAGAAUCAUAAAAACAAAUAUUAUAUUACUAAAAACAGUGUGUGCUGUCUCAAGAGAUAUAGUUAUUUAAAUGAAGACAACCAGGUGAUACACAGUCAGAGAACAACCUAUGGUCAAAACUGAGAGACAAACCAAUCUUUCAUCUGAGCCAAAACACUAACCAAAAACAAAAUUGACAUAAAGAGAAAAAAAAAGUUUUGGUAAUCAGAAUUUCAAAAUCAAAAAAGGUCUUUUGGAAACUUACAAAGAUUAGGUAUCUGUCCACAAACUGAUCUUUACACUAUAACUUCUAUGACAUCAGAAGCAUUGUGUUACCUGGGAAAUUCUGAGAGAUGCUACCAGGAGAACACAAAAUGUCAAUGCCCUUAAGAAAAACAAAGAUGGUGAUACAUGAUUAUAAAGUGUCAACUUUGUUAAUGCAAAAAUGAAUGUAAGAAUCAAUAUUAAGAAAAUCCCAAAACACCAAAAAAGAUGUACAGAUCAUUAUAUUUCAUGCAGAAUACUUACAAAUACAUAUUGUAUAUGUCAUUUAUAAUUGUCUAUAUACUGUAUAUGUGUUGCAUGAGAUGUAUACUUUUUUAAUAAGAUGUAUACUUGUUUAUUUUUUUAUUUUAUUUUAUUUUAAUUUCAUUGUACUAUGGACUUGUGCAGACAGUGCCUGUAGAAGAGUUCAAGGAAGGAACCAACUUUCAACAGAGCAUCAGUCCAUAUACUGACUGACACUGUUUUGAUUAAUUAUUUAAUUACUUCUAUUUAGCUUUAUUAAAAACCUAAUUUAUUUCAAACACAUGUACAGACACAUGUAUAGUCUGAUAUUUCUCUGU